rnacentral:tRNA from 1 species
GCGAAUAUAGAUUAAAGGCCAAAUCAUCUGCCUUCCAAGCAGAAAAUAUGGGUUCGAGUCCCAUUAUCCGCA